rnacentral:lncRNA from 7 species
CCUUGGCCCAGUUACUCUCCCUAUUUAAUACCACUCCCAACCCCUGAUUAGGGUAUGGGUUCCUAUUCUAACAUUAAGUUUAGUGUUUCUCUAGGGUUUCUUUUUGGAUAUACUUAAGGGCUUUGUACUUUCAUCUAUUUCUCCCCAAAGUUUCCCUUUUCUUUCUAUUGCUUCCUAUUAAGCCUUUUUGAACCAUCAGGGUUUGUUAACAUUUUCCAAAAAUGUUAUAAAAAUUACAGUGGGUAAAUAUUGACAUUUGUGGGUUCUCAUAAAAAAUUGAGGUGGAGAUUAAUUCAGAUACUACUUGUGUAAAAUUAACAAAAACAAGUGUAAAAGGGCAUUUUACACUAUAGCGAUGAUUUAAGUGAGGUUUCUGUACCAAUUUUUAUUUUUGUCCAGAUUCAUAGGUGAUAUUAGGCCUCUGUGUUAAAAAUCACAGAAAAAGACCUAUUGGAUAUUUAGUUGUGAUUUUCUAAAGUUUAAUGCCAAAAAGGUACUUAUAACUAACUUGUUAUUUGAAAAAUAUCAAACAACAUAACUCAUAUUCUUCCUACAUUCAUAAUAACAAAAUAUUAGUUAUCCCAUGGUUUGGGUGUUUUCUCCUCAGGAUUAUUUUUCUAAGAUUUUCUUAAGUUUUCAUUGUUUGC